rnacentral:rRNA from 1 species
AGGACGAACGCUGGCGGCGUGCUUAACACAUGCAAGUGGAGCGACGAACCAGGCUUCGGCCUGGGGCAGAGCCGCGAACGGGUGAGUAACACGUGGGUAACGUGCCCCGAUGACUGGGACAACCCGGGGAAACCCGGGCUAAUACCGGAUAUGCCCCCUCACGCGAGUGAGGUGUGUAAAGGAAGCUUCGGCCUCCGCAUCGGGAUCGGCCCGCGGCCCAUUAGCUUGUUGGUGAGGUAACGGCUCACCAAGGCAACGAUGGGUAGCUGGUCUGAGAGGACGAUCAGCCACACUGGGACUGAGACACGGCCCAGACUCCUACGGGAGGCAGCAGUGGGGAAUCUUGCGCAAUGCGCGAAAGCGUGACGCAGCAACGCCGCGUGGGGAAGAAGGCCUUCGGGUUGUAAACCCUUUCAGUUGGACGAAGGUCGGACGGUUAACAGCCGUUCCGUCUGACGGUACCUUCACAAGAACGCCCGGCUAACUACGUGCCAGCAGCCGC